rnacentral:tRNA from 1 species
GAUAUUACGCCGGACGAACGGAUAACUUUGAUGAUGUUAAUCAUGAAUUAAUAUUCUAAUAUCU